rnacentral:tmRNA from 20 species
AAGCUGCCGUUGGUUUGUCUUUCCCCAACGUACGUGAAAAGGGAGACUAGGGUGCGUGAUCGGCUGUUCUGGACAGGGGUUCGAUUCCCCUCAUCUCCACCAACUCGGGGAUGUACUGGCUUCGACAGGGCAAUUAGAGCGUAACUGAAGCCUGCUCGGUUAGAGCAAAAAACCAAGUGCUACUAACAACGUAGUUCCCUUCGCUCGCGCCCGCGCUACUGUCGCGGCCUGAGUAAGGCGGGGUUGGUAGAUAACCUUGUAAACCAAAACUACCCAAAAGGCCCCUUCGGGGGCC